rnacentral:rRNA from 1 species
ACCUACGGGAGGCAGCAGUGGGGAAUAUUGGGCAAUGGAGGAAACUCUGACCCAGCAAUGCCGCGUGAAUGAAGAAGGUCUUCGGAUUGUAAAGUUCUUUAGUUAGGGAAGAAUAAAAUGACGGUACCUAAAGAAUAAGCCCCGGCUAACUACGUGCCAGCAGCCGCGGUAAUACGUAGGGGGCAAGCGUUAUCCGGAUUUACUGGGUGUAAAGGGAGCGCAGACGGCUGUGCAAGUCUGGAGUGAAAGGCGGGGGCCCAACCCCCGGACUGCUCUGGAAACUGUAAAGCUGGAGUGCAGGAGAG